GGUUUUUUGAAUUAUAAUUUAAAAUUUAGUCUGCUCAAUGAUUAAUUUAAAUAGCUGCAGUAAAUUAACUGUACAAAGGUAGCAUAAUCAAUAGAUUUUUAAUUAAAAUCUAGAAUGAAGGGAUUGAUGAAAUAAAAACUUUAUGAUUUUAAAAAAUAGAAAUUUAUUAUUAGUUAAAAAUCUAAUAAGAAAUUAAAAGACGAGAAGACCCUAUAGAUUUUUAUAAUUUAAAUUUAAGAUAAAAUUAAAUUUUUAUUUAUUUUAAAUUUUAUAUUAUUUGAUUGGGGUGAUUAUUAAAUUUAUUUAACUUUAAUUUUAUUUAUAUAUCAAUUAAUAAAUUAUUGAUCUAAAAUUUUUGAUUAAAAGAAAAAAAUACCUUAGGGAUAACAGCGUAAUUUUUUUUGAAAGUUCAUAUUGAUAAAAAAGUUUGC
rnacentral:rRNA from 1 species